CGCACAGUCGAGCGAAGACAAUUUUGUGUCAUUAGCCAGUUUUCUGGAGCCUCUUGUCCAGUAAGCGUGUCGCAAAUAUGCCGAACCACGAGACAACGAACCUAAUCGCCACCUACCUCAUCCUGGUGCUGCUCCUGGCCAGCCUCUGGCUGCUCUACUCCGGAUUUUUCUGAGAUGCUGUCAGGAUUAAGACACCGUAAGAGUCCAAACAAAGAUGGCGGAAAGACAAACGCUAUGAAAACAACUUAAUUUUAAGAAACCGUAAUUUUAGUAUUUAAGUUAAUAAUUUAAGCAUCGUUAUACUCCCAAGCAUUUAAAUACUUCGAAUUUUGGAACAUCUACUGAAAGAAGCUCAACGUAUGGAAGCAAAACACCAAAUUCAGUGCUGGGCAUUCCAAUUUAAGUAAAAAAAAAACUAAAAAUGUAAACUAAACGCGAGAAAGACAACUAUAUAGAACGCCAAAUUAACUUCAAAUAUUAUGUUAAUAUAGUAUAACACUUGUCGGUUGGUGCAGUUCAAAUCUUUAGAAUGUUAUCGUUAUUAUGGACUAAGAGAAUUUUAUAAUAAAGUUUCUUUUAAAACUA